rnacentral:rRNA from 1 species
GUCUUAAUUGGGCGUUAAGUUGCAGGGUAUAGACCCGAAACCCGGUGAUCUAGCCAUGGGCAGGUUGAAGGUUGGGUAACACUAACUGGAGGACCGAACCGACUAAUGUUGAAAAAUUAGCGGAUGACCUGUGGCUGGGGGUGAAAGGCCAAUCAAACCGGGAGAUAGCUGGUUCUCCCCGAAAGCUAUUUAGGUAGCGCCUCGUGAAUUCAUCUCCGGGGGUAGAGCACUGUUUCGGCUAGGGGGCCAUCCCGGCUUACCAACCCGAUGCAAACUGCGAAUACCGGAGAAUGUUAUCACGGGAGACACACGGCGGGUGCUAACGUCCGUCGUGAAGAGGGAAACAACCCAGACCGCCAGCUAAGGUCCCAAAGUCAUGGUUAAGUGGGAAACGAUGUGGGAAGGCCCAGACAGCCAGGAUGUUGGCUUAGAAGCAGCCAUCAUUUAAAGAAAGCGUAAUAGCUCACUGGUCGAGUCGGCCUGCGCGGAAGAUGUAACGGGGCUAAACCAUGCACCGAAGCUGCGGCAGCGAACGUAUCACCCAAGACAACUUUGCGGAGUUGACGAUUGACGGAGCGAAGCGACGUCAAAGCGUUCAUUAAAGUCGAGUUGGCUUAGGGAUACGUUCGUUGGGUAGGGGAGCGUUCUGUAAGCCUGUGAAGGUGGCCUGUGAGGGUUGCUGGAGGUAUCAGAAGUGCGAAUGCUGACAUAAGUAACGAUAAAGCGGGUGAAAAGCCCGCUCGCCGGAAGACCAAGGGUUCCUGUCCAACGUUAAUCGGGGCAGGGUGAGUCGACCCCUAAGGCGAGGCCGAAAGGCGUAGUCGAUGGGAAACGGGUUAAUAUUCCCGUACUUGGUGUUACUGCGAAGGGGGGACGGAGAAGGCUAUGUUGGCCGGGCGACGGUUGUCCCGGUUUAAGCGUGUAGGUGUGUGUUCCAGGUAAAUCCGGUUCACUUUAACACUGAGGCGUGACGACGAGGCACUACGGUGCUGAAGCAACAAAUGCCCUGCUUCCAGGAAAAGCCUCUAAGCAUCAGGUAACAUCAAAUCGUACCCCAAACCGACACAGGUGGUCAGGUAGAGAAUACCAAGGCGCUUGAGAGAACUCGGGUGAAGGAACUAGGCAAAAUGGUGCCGUAA